CUCACUGAGAUGCUUCAAUCAGAGGCUGAUCUUGUCAGAAAAGGUUCAGGUAGCUUUGAGGCUCCGCACAUUUCUGACAGGUGAUGGAAACUCGUGGAAAAACGAAACGCACAAGUGGACAAUAUGGAUGAUUGAUUUAGCUCCAGAUCAGAACUGGUCGAGCACAGGCGCGUUCGUGCAUCAUUUGGUGUCAUGGCAACAGAAGGUGACGCGCACCUAUAAAAGGCCGGUUGACUUUCAAAAACGUUCUCUUUUGCAUUUGGACAUUUACUUGAACGGGUGCAAAUUGACCAGCCUGCUGCAAAGCUAGCAAUUUUUGGAAAGCCUUUUGGAAAACACUGUGAACACUUCGUUGGACAUCCCAAGGACCUUGUUAAGAAGAAGCUCACCGUCAGCAUGAAGAGGACGCUGGACUUCAUCUCCUGGCCGGACUCCUCCAGGUACCUCCCUUACCCCUUACCUCUCCAUCCUCCUGCCUCCUCCCUCUCUCACUAUCCUUUUGCUCCCCUCCCUCCCCCUCCUUUCCUAUCUCCUCCUGCCCCUCUCGCUCUGCUUUUUCUCCCCUCCCUCACUCCAUCUCUCUUCUUCCUUCCGUCUCUCCUCCUCCUCCUACCUCCAUCUCUCCUUCUCCCCCUCCUCUUCCCCCCUCCUCUCCUGUCUCCUCCCCUUCCUCUUCUAGGUACAGGACCUCCACUCCUCCUUCCUCCCCCCCUCCUUUCAAGCGUCGUCGCUGUUCUUCCCCCCCUCCUCCCUUCCGCCCUUGGUCCUUUUACACUCUCCCUGUCCCUCCCUCUCCCCCCCACACUUUCCUCUCCACUUCCUACACCUGUCCCAACCCUAUCCCUGUCUCCUUCUCCCCUCCUCCCUCUCCUCCUCCUUCUCCUCCUCCUCUUCCCCCCUCCUCUUCUAUCUCCUCCCCCUCUCGCUCUUCUUCUCCCCCUCCUCACAUCCUCACAUUCUUCUCUCUCUUUUUCCCUGACACUGUUCUUUCUCUCCUCCCUCGCUCUGACUCUCCCCCUUAUCUUCACCCAUACACUCUAGACUAGACUCUAUGAUUCUCACCUAUCUCCUCCCCCACCUCCCUUUCGCACUCUUCUUUUUCUCCCUUCCCUCCACCUCUCUCUCCUAUCUCCUCCUCUCUUCCUUAUUCUGACCGGGCGCUGGAGUUGCAGGAUAUCGGAGGCUGCCACCACUCUUCUUCCUAUCCAAGUUUUUCUGUUGAAGGACCUCCUGACAAACGUACAGGCUCAGUCUAGUCUAUCAUGCAGGAGGUCCCCUCUUAACAAUUUUUACUAAUCAUUGUGUGAGUUUCUCUCCCCAGAAGCCUCCUGCCAGCCAACCUCCAGGGAAGAAGGUUCGCAAACCUUCCAUUCCAUUAGAUUUACCCCGUUUCAUUUUAAACAUUUUAGCUACGUGUGAUUUUCUGGAUGUGAUCUGGUCAGAUUUUAUUUGGAUUUCUUGUGAUUAUGUCUGAUCAGAUCUAUUCCAACUUUACUUGAAUGAAUUUUCUUCCAUUGUAUUUUGUGUGAUUCUUUGAGCUCGGUUCUUGUCGGUGGGACUCUGGUCAGGGUGCCUGUCAGAGGUGUGGGCGGAUCUGGGGGGGAUUGUGGGAAACCUCCUGUGGUCCCCCUCCUCUUACAGUGAAGCUCCGCUCUGUCAGAAGGUGAACAGGAUGCAGACGGCACGUCACAGAGAAGCGACAUGUGUGUGUCUGUAUCCCACCCUGGACCCACAGUGGAGUCCACAGUGACAAGAUCACAGUUCAGGAGAGUCACAGCGGGAUUAAUGGGGGUGGUUAAAUGUGUUAUUUAAGAUAGUAAAUGUAGUGUGAGGGUGAAGGCCUCGCUGCCAGAGGGAAGUUUCCAGAAGAACAGGCACAUAAGGAUCCCUGUGAAUGCUGCUGCAUGAAAAGACCGAUGAUCCCGGGACCCAAGACCAAGACAAGGACGACCCCAAAAGACGACUUGAAGAUGAGUGACCGAGCCCCAACAGAGAUGAAGCCAGAGACGACGACCAGCCGGUGAGGAGAAGAAAGAACAACUUUAUCGAGACUUUACUGGACGCACUGGUUUGUCUGGAUCUGGAGCUGCAUGUUUCUGAUCUGCUGUUAUCGGCCUCAGCAACCUCCAAACUAUUCAUCUUCUUACCUUCCACUCUACCCCUCAACACAACCAGAGGUUUUUUUUUUCCUCACCCCAAAUGGAGUUUUUUUUUUUAACUUCCUAACAACAGGAAGUUUUUUUUCCUCCACACUGGUACCAUGUGCUUGAUCUGAUCAUACUGCAAAAAGAGAGAUCCUCAAAUAAAAACAAAACAACACAAUAGAACUGUAUGUUUGUUUAAAAAUGUAACCUAAUGCACUCUUCCUUUUAGACUUAUUAUUGGAGAGCAUGUUUUAUGGCUAGCAAACUUCAUUCAUCUAAAAAACAUGGUUUCAAACCACUGGUUUCUCACAAACACCUGGACUCCAUCUUAAAACUGCACAGCAUUUGAACAUACUGAUGGUUGUGUGAUUACUUGGAGUAAAUGCACGAGACAGUAAAUUUGCUAAAUACAUAGAUGCUGCAUGAUUAGUAUUAACAGAAUGUACUAAUUUGCACUGAGAUAAAAACAAAAAACUAUACUACAAAUUCUGCAGGGUUUCUAUUAUAGUAUUUUGGAUAAUGUGCUGUAAGACUUUAUAACAUCAGCAUCAUUGGCUGAUGUUAACAUAAACCAGACUGAUAUCAUAUCAAACCAUAAAAUUUGCACAGCAUUCUUGCACAGUGGCAUUUUUGCACUUCUGAAUUUAUUUUCAAGUAUUUAUUAGUUUUUAUUUUUCAUCCUUGUACAUAUUGUAAUUAUUAUGUUUAUUUCCUGGUGUAAAUAUGCUUGCUGCUGUAACAAUGUGAAUUUCCCCUGGCAUGGGGAGCAAUAAAAGAUUAUCUUAGC